rnacentral:lncRNA from 1 species
CGGAUUUGAGAAUUAACUUCCCCGUCUCCCACUUGUUUGACCUGGUUAACACUGGGAUUAUUAAACUCUUUCUUUGCUGCAAAACCCCGCUAUUUUCAAUGCACUGGCUCUUUUGGGCAGAGGCGAGAUGAAUCUGGAUGACAGACCUAGCUUCCCACGCCUUGCACCCCAGGUAUUGUCCCUGUGAAAGUCUCCGAAACGAGUACAGGGUUGACUCUUUCUGGAGUGAAUGGAGACUAGAAAAUGAAACGAUUUCUAUUUUGUUGUGUGGGGCAUCAGCAUGGAAUUACACCAUCACCCACGCAGUUUCCCUUUCACAUUCCAGUUUACAUUCCUGUAACAGAGAAUUCUAGGGCUUUUAAAUUAAAUUGCUGAGCUUAAUUUCGAUAGCAGGAAUUUUCCUGGAUCCAAUCACCAACAGUUUGCUCUGUCCCAGGGAGAUCCUGCCGAGUUGCUUCAUCCUCACUGGUAAAUGUCUCCCCCUAAACCAGUAAAACAGAGACGAGCCAGAAGAGGAAAGCACAGGUCCCGCCUCUCCGCUCUGCCCCCGCCCCCGCCCUUCCACUCUUCACACUCUGUAUCUCGCUGGGUGGACCUGCCCAUCCCUGGUUUCCACCGUGUGCGCGCAGUUUCCUGCAGACCCGGAAGCAGUUCACCGGAAUGGGAGUUGCUCCUCCACGAGUGAGUUUUCCUCUGUCUAUAUUAAGAUUAAAUAAGGCGGUAGGGCCCGGUGGCUCACACCUAUAAUCACAGCAUUUUGGGAGGCCAAGGUGGGUGGAUCGCUUGAGGUCAGGAGUUCAAGACCAACCUGGUCUACAGGGCGAAACCUGUCGCUAUUAAAAAUACAAAAAUUGCUGGGCGCGGUGACUCAUGCCUGUAAUCCCAAUACGUUGGGAGGCUGAGGCGAGCUGAUCACCAGGUCAGGAGUUCGAGACCAGCCUGGACAACAUGGUCAGACAGAAACCCUCUCUCUACUAAAAAUAGCCCACUAAAGAUACAAAAUUAGCUGGGCGUGAUGGCACACUCCUGUAGUCCCAGCUACUCAGGAGGCUCAGACAGCGAAUCGCUUGAACCUGGGAAGCCGAGGUUGCAGUGAGCCGAGAUCGCGCUACUGCACUCCAGCCUGGCAACAGAGUGAGACUCCAUCUCAAAAAACAAAAACAAAAACUAGCUGGGCCUGGUGGCGUGGGCCUGUAGUCCCAGCUACUCAGGAGGCUGAGGCAGGAGAAGCCUGAACUCAGGAGGUGGAGGUUGCAGUGAGCCG